AUUUUAAAGAAAAACAAGAGAACUUUUAUCGAGACGGAAUAAUGGCCCUACCAGAAAAAUGGCAAGAAAUUGUACAACGAGAGGGGGAUUACAUUUUUCCAUGAAACCGAAAGGUAUGUAGACAAUCUUAACAUAUAUAACCGCUCGAAAAACGGCACGAACUUAUGGGAUGACCUAAUAUAUACGUAUGUAAUCAAGUUU